CCUAGGGGUGCUGCAGUGGGGAAUAUUGGACAAUGGGCGAAAGCCUGAUCCAGCCAUGCCGCGUGUGUGAAGAAGGCCUUCGGGUUGUAAAGCACUUUCAGUGGGGAAGAAAGCCUUGGGGCUAAUACCCUCGAGGAAGGACAUCACCCACAGAAGAAGCACCGGCUAACUCCGUGCCAGCAGCCGCGGUAAUACGGAGGGUGCGAGCGUUAAUCGGAAUUACUGGGCGUAAAGCGCGCGUAGGCGGUCUGAUAAGCCGGUUGUGAAAGCCCCGGGCUCAACCUGGGAACGGCAUCCGGAACUGUCAGGCUAGAGUGCAGGAGAGGAAGGUAGAAUUCCCGGUGUAGCGGUGAAAUGCGUAGAGAUCGGGAGGAAUACCAGUGGCGAAGGCGGCCUUCUGGACUGACACUGACGCUGAGGUGCGAAAGCGUGGGUAGCAAACAGGAUUAGAUACCCCAGUAGUC
rnacentral:rRNA from 1 species